AUUGUGUGCGUACAAGGAGUCGGAGCCCGCUUGUCGGGUGACGGCGUGCUUUUUGUAGAACGAUCCAGCGAGUUACUGGUUACUGCGAGCAUAAGCCAUAUGGCGGAUGCGUAGCGAAAGCGAGUCUGAAUAGGGCGCAAUUAGUAGUAAUCAGUAGACCCGAAACCGGGUGACCUAACCAUGAGCAGGCUGAAGCGUGGGUAAAACCACGUGGAGGGCCGAACCGCAGCGAGUUGCAACACGCCCGGAUGACUUGUGGUUAGCGGUGAAAUGCCAAUCGAACUCGGAGAUAGCUGGUUCUCCUCGAAAUAGCUUUAGGGCUAGCGUUGUACGGUAGCCGGCAGGGGUAGAGCUCUGUUUUGGACUGGGGCCCGCAAGGGUACCCACCCUUGACAAACUACGAAUACUGCCGGUGAAACUACAGCAGUCAGAACGGCGGGGCUAAGCUCGUCGCUCAAAAGGGAAACAGCCCAGACCGCCAUCUAAGGUCCCCAAGUCUAUGCUAAGUGGGAAACGAGGUGGGAUUUCUUAAACAACGAGGAUGUUGGCUUAGAAGCAGCCAUUCAUUUAAAGAGUGCGUAACAGCUCACUCGUCAAGAGAUCCUGCGCGGAAAAUGUAACGGGGCUAAGCAUAGCACCGAAGAUGCGGGCUUCUAGUUUUGACUAGGAGCGGUAGAGGAGCGUUGAUAUCGCGUUGAAGUCGGAUCGCGAGGUCUGGUGGAGCGUUAUCAAGUGAGAAUGCUGGAAUGAGUAACCUCAAGGCAGGUGAGAAUCCUGCCCACCGAAAGAGCAAGGUUUCCUGGGCCACGGUAAUCGCCCCAGGGUUAGUCGGUCCUAAGCCGAGGCGCGUAGCGUAGGCGAUGGACAACGGGUUAAUAUUCCCGUACCGGUGUUACAUUAGUUUGGAGUGCGCGGCAUAUUAGUCGGAGCGGAUUCUUGGUUAUAUCCGUCUAACCAGAAGAAAUAGCUGGGAAUGAAACGACCCUUAGGUCGAAUUCUGAUGAAGGUGCCGACAGGAAAAGCUGCCAAACAUGUGUGUAACGCCGUCCGUACCGCAAACCGACACUGGUGCUCAGGUCGAGAAGACCAAGGUGUACGAGUGAUUCUUCGUCAAGGAACUCGGCAAUACAGCGGCCGUAACUUCGGGAUAAGGCCUGCCCUCCUCGUGAGGGCCGCAGCUAAAGAGCCCAUGCAACUGUUUACCAAAAACACAGGUCUCUGCUAACACGAAAGUGGAUGUAUAGGGGCUGACGCCUGCCCGGUGCUGGAAGGUUAAGGGGAGAGCUUCACGGCUUGAACUGAAGCCCCAGUGAACGGCGGCGGUAACUAUAACCGUCCUAAGGUAGCGAAAUUCCUUGUCAGGUAAGUUCUGACCCGCACGAAUGGCGUAAUGACAUGGGCACUGUCUCGACGAAGAGCUCGGUGAAAGUGCAUUGACGGUAAAGAUGCCGUCUGUCCGCAGCAGGACGAAAAGACCCCGUGGAGCUUUACUACAGCUUGACAUUGUUCCGGGCCAUAACAUGUGUAGGAUAGGUGGGAGACUGCGAAGCUUACGCGCUAGCGUAGGUGGAGUCGACGGUGAAAUACCACCCUUGUUAUGGUUUGGAUCUAACCCUUGCCGUUAUCCGGUAAGGGGACCGUGUCUGGUGGGUAGUUUAACUGGGGCGGUUGCCUCCUAAAGAGUAUCGGAGGCGUUCAAAGGUUGGCUAAGUUCGGAUGGAAAUCGAACUGAUAGUGUAUACGCAGAAGCCAGCUUGACUGUGAGGCCUACAAGCCGAGCAGGGACGAAAGUCGGAGUAAGUUUUCCGCUGUCCGUACGGCAACGUACAUGAGUGUGGUAUCGGCAGCGCUUUCGGAUAAAAGUUACCCCGGGGAUAACAGGCUUAUAGCGCCCAAUAGUUCACAUAGACGGCGCUGUUUGGCACCUCGAUGUCGGCUCAUCUCAUCCUGGGGCUGGAGCAGGUCCCAAGGGUCCGGCUGUUCGCCGGUUAAAGAGGUACGUGAGCUGGGUUCAGAACGUCGUGAGACAGUUCGGUUUAUAUCCGCUGUGGACGUCAGGAAAUUUGAGAGGAUCUGCCCCUAGUACGAGAGGACCGGGGUGGACGUACCGCUGGUGUACCAGUUGUCGUACCAACGGCACUGCUGGGUAGCUAUGUACGGAUCAGAUAAACGCUGAAAGCAUAUUAAGCGUGAAACUGACCUCAAGAUUAGAUUUCCCUAUGAGGGCCCUGAAAGACCAUCAGGUUGAUAGGCGCAAGGUGGAAGUGUGGCAACGCAUGGAGCCGAAGCGUACUAAUAACCCCAUUGACUU
rnacentral:rRNA from 1 species